ACAGAUGUUCACUACAACAAAUAGAGCUUCUUCUAAUAGUUUUUUUACCAGCAAUUAGGCUAACUGCCGCUAAAAGCAUAUUAUACCAGCGCUUUUUAUUUUUAUUGCAGCAGUUACUAAACCGCUGGUAUAUAUGAUGAUAAUUCUCAAAUUUAUAAAUAAUAUUGGACCAAUGGAACUAUAUUUUAUUAACUUUUUCCAUCAAUUGGGCCAUGGACCAACCUUGGGCAAUAAACACUUUCCACAUUAGCUCUCCCUAUAUUUCAAAUAACCUCUCUCUCUCUAUCUCUCUCUCACCUCGAUCUCUAUCUCUGAGCUCUUCAUGUUCACCUCUCUCUCUCUCUCUCUCUCUCUCUCUCUCUCUCUCUCUUUUCCUUUUUUUCACCACGA
rnacentral:lncRNA from 1 species